rnacentral:tRNA from 1 species
UCCGUUGUCGUCUAAUCCAUUUAGGAUACCUGGUUUUCACCCAAGCGACCCGGGUUCAAAUCCUGGCAACGAAA